rnacentral:rRNA from 1 species
CGGCGGACGGGUGAGUAAUGUCUGGGAAACUGCCUGAUGGAGGGGGAUAACUACUGGAAACGGUAGCUAAUACCGCAUAACGUCGCAAGACCAAAGAGGGGGACCUUCGGGCCUCUUGCCAUCAGAUGUGCCCAGAUGGGAUUAGCUAGUAGGUGGGGUAACGGCUCACCUAGGCGACGAUCCCUAGCUGGUCUGAGAGGAUGACCAGCCACACUGGAACUGAGACACGGUCCAGACUCCUACGGGAGGCAGCAGUGGGGAAUAUUGCACAAUGGGCGCAAGCCUGAUGCAGCCAUGCCGCGUGUAUGAAGAAGGCCUUCGGGUUGUAAAGUACUUUCAGCGGGGAGGAAGGNGGUGAGGUUAAUAACCUCAUCAAUUGACGUUACCCGCAGAAGAAGCACCGGCUAACUCCGUGCCAGCAGCCGCGGUAAUACGGAGGGUGCAAGCGUUAAUCGGAAUUACUGGGCGUAAAGCGCACGCAGGCGGUCUGUCAAGUCGGAUGUGAAAUCCCCGGGCUCAACCUGGGAACUGCAUUCGAAACUGGCAGGCUAGAGUCUUGUAGAGGGGGGUAGAAUUCCAGGUGUAGCGGUGAAAUGCGUAGAGAUCUGGAGGAAUANCCCGGUGGCGAAGGCGGCCCCCUGGAUCAAAGA